UACGUAGGGUGCAAGCGUUGUCCGGAAUUAUUGGGCGUAAAGAGCUCGUAGGCGGUCUGUCGCGUCGGAUGUAAAAACCCAGGGCUCAACCCUGGGCCUGCAUUCGAUACGGGCAGACUAGAGUUCGGUAGGGGAGACUGGAAUUCCUGGUGUAGCGGUGAAAUGCGCAGAUAUCAGGAGGAACACCGGUGGCGAAGGCGGGUCUCUGGGCCGAAACUGACGCUGAGGAGCGAAAGCGUGGGGAGCAAACAGG
rnacentral:rRNA from 1 species